rnacentral:rRNA from 1 species
UACAGAGGUCCAACGUUUGUUCGGAUUCACUGGGCGUAAAGGGUGCGUAGGUGGCUUCGUAAGUCCGUUGUGAAAGUCAAAAGGUCAACCUUUGAAAGCCGAUGGAUACUGCGGAGCUAGAGUACGGAAGAGGCGAGUGGAAUUCCUGGUGUAGCGGUGGAAUGCGCAGAUAUCAGGAGGAACACCAAUAGCGAAGGCAGCUCGCUGGGACGGUACUGACGCUGAGACGCGAAAGCGUGGGGAGCGAACAGG